rnacentral:lncRNA from 1 species
UUCGAUCUUCCUUUGAAAUCUCUGGAGGUCGUGCUCUCUCUCCCAGCUGGUUUCUUCUAGGCCUAGUCCCUCCCACUUUACUAAGUACUCCCGAACUAGUCUUCGAGAUAUCUUGGUUUCCCUGUCAGCUAAGAUCUCUUGGACUCGACGCUCUGAGGGUGGUUUCAUGGUGAUGGCGGCUCUGGUUGGCUCUCUUCGACCAGCAUUUGUAGGAUCUGCAUGGAAUGGCUUCAAGUUGCUCACAUGAAAUACUGGGUGCACCUUCAUCCACUUUGGAGGGUCGAUUUUGUAGGAAGCAUUCCCCACCUUGGAAAGGACCC